UACGGAGGGUGCAAGCGUUAUCCGGAUUCACUGGGUUUAAAGGGUGCGUAGGUGGGUAGGUAAGUCUGACGUGAAAUCCCGCAGCUUAACUGCGGAAUGGCAUUGGAUACUAUUCGGCUAGAGGGUUGGAGGGGGGACUGGAAUUCUCGGUGUAGCAGUGAAAUGCGUAGAUAUCGAGAGGAACACCAGUGGCGAAGGCGAGUCCCUGGACAACUCCUGACGCUGAGGCACGAAAGCUAGGGGAGCAAACAGG
rnacentral:rRNA from 1 species